rnacentral:rRNA from 1 species
AGUGAACGCUGGCGGUAGGCCUAACACAUGCAAGUCGAACGGCAGCACAGUAAGAGCUUGCUCUUACGGGUGGCGAGUGGCGGACGGGUGAGGAAUACAUCGGAAUCUACUUUUUCGUGGGGGAUAACGUAGGGAAACUUACGCUAAUACCGCAUACGACCUACGGGUGAAAGCAGGGGAUCUUCGGACCUUGCGCGAUUGAAUGAGCCGAUGUCGGAUUAGCUAGUUGGCGGGGUAAAGGCCCACCAAGGCGACGAUCCGUAGCUGGUCUGAGAGGAUGGUCAGCCACACUGGAACUGAGACACGGUCCAGACUCCUACGGGAGGCAGCAGUGGGGAAUAUUUGACAAUGGGCGCAAGCCUGAUCCAGCCAUACCGCGUGGGUGAAAAAGGCCUUCGGGUUGUAAAGCCCUUUUGUUGGGAAAGAAAAGCAGCAGGUUAAUACCCCGCUGUUCUGACGGUACCCAAAGAAUAAGCACCGGCUAACUUCGUG